rnacentral:rRNA from 1 species
GAGUUUGAUCAUGGCUCAGAGCGAACGCUGGCGGCAGGCCUAACACAUGCAAGUCGAACGAACUCUUCGGAGUUAGUGGCGGACGGGUGAGUAACACGUGGGAACGUGCCUUUUGGUUCGGAAUAACUCAGGGAAACUUGUGCUAAUACCGAAUGUGCCCUUCGGGUAAGGAUUAUCGCCAUUAGAGCGGCCCGCCGUCUGAUUAGUCUAGUUGGUUGGAGGUAAAGGACUCACCAAGGACGACGAUCAGUAGCUGGUCUGAGAGGAGUGAUCAGCCACCAUUGGGACCGGAGACACGG